AGGCAACAGCAGCCUUAGCUCCUUGGCCAGCAGAAGCUGCGGACCGGGAGACACCUCAGGUGGAGCCAGGCCAUACCAAAUCUGAGGAUGGAGAGGAGUGAGCAGCAGUUACAGACUCCAGAUUCAUCGCUAUGUGCCCUAAGAUAUUGCUACCCAAAGUGAGUUUGGAAGACUAUCAGCCUGGAUGGACCUGGGAACUUGUCAGUAACGCACACUCUCAGGCUCACUGCCAACUGCAGAACUGGAAGAGGGGUUCCUGCACACUUCAAAGUCAGAGACCUGCUGUCCUAAGCUACCUGUGGCUAUACCAUCCUGGACAACAAAAUCCAAGACCACUUAGAAGCCUGAGCACGAUCAUCUGACAACAAACUGAAAAGACAGUACUUGCUAAAAUAAUAGUUACUUACGUUUGAGG